GGGCCUGUAGCUCAGCGGUUAGAGCACCGCCCUUAUAAGGCGGGGGUCGGCGGUUCGAUUCCUCCCAGGCCCACCA
rnacentral:tRNA from 1 species